rnacentral:rRNA from 1 species
GACAGAGGGUGCAAACGUUGUUCGGAAUUACUGGGCGUAAAGCGCGUGUAGGCGGCUCUGCAAGUCGGAUGUGAAAUCCCACGGCUCAACCAUGGAAGUGCAUUCGAAACUGCAGGGCUAGAGUCCUGGAGAGGAAGGUGGAAUGCUUGGUGUAGAGGUGAAAUUCGUAGAUAUCAAGCGGAACACCGGUGGCGAAGGCGGCCUUCUGGACAGUGACUGACGCUGAGACGCGAAAGCGUGGGGAGCGAACAGG